rnacentral:rRNA from 1 species
AUGUGGGAUGCACUCGAGGCCAAGUUUGGGGUCUCGGAUGCUGGCACUGAGCUGUACAUCAUAGAGCAAUUCUAUGAUUACAGGAUAACUGAAGAGCGCUCCGUGGUUGAGCAAGCUCAUGAGAUACAGUCGUUUGCUAGAGAACUUGAGCACUUCAGUUGUACGCUACCGGACAAGUUUGUUGCGGGAGGUAUCAUCACUAAGCUUCCUCCUUCAUGGAGGAACUUUGCUACCUUGCUGAAGCAUAAGAGGCAGGAGUUUUCCAUCCCGGAUCUCAUUGGCACUCUUGAUGUGGAAGAAAAGGCGAGAGCAAAGGACACACGUGCUCGAGGUAUUGAGGGAGGAUCUAGUGCCAAUGUGGUACAGAAGCAGAACUUCCAGCCCCACAAGUUCAAGAACAAGGGCAAGUUUGAUGGUAAAGCAAAGUUUGAUGGGAAGAACAAGGCUGUGCAACAUACGAACUUCAAGAAGAAGAAUGGCAAGAAGAAAGGUGCUUGUCAUGUGUGUGGAGAUUGA